AGAAGAAUCUGAAUGUCUAGCUAAAAUGUCCACAGAUGCUGAAGAACAUCAACCUGCCAUUCUGACUGAAGAAAUAGCAAAAGCUGAGAAUGAAAAAAUGGAUGCUCCCGAUGAAGAACCUGCAGAAGUUGAGGAAAAAAGAAAUUAUGCUCCAGAUCUAGAAACAACUGAAGAUCCAGCUACAGAAGCCACGAAACAACAAACUGACAUUAUGGUAGAAGAAACCCCAAAAGUUGAUUUAAAAGAAUCUGAAGUUUCUGCUGAUGAAACCAUUGAAGCUACAGUUGACAAUACUGAAGUUAAUGCUGGAGAAAAUGCAGAAGAAGUACAAACAGAAGUUACAUUUGACACUGAAGACAGAGCAUUGAGUGCUAUGUCUGAUAAGUCCAAUGUUUCUGCAAGAUCAAGUAAAUCAAAUAUUUCUGUAAGAUCAAACAAAUCUAAAGCUUCUCCAAUUCCUCCUGAGGGAAAUGGAAACAAGGAGAUGGAAGGUGCCGAAGGGAGACCACCAAGUACUCUGUCUACUAAGUCAGCUAAGUCUAAUAUUUCUACAAAAUCAAAGAGGUCCAAGGUUUCUCCACUUUGUCCUGAAGAACAAAUUGAAGAGAGAGCACCCAGUGCAUUGUCUGGUAGGUCUGCUGUUUCGGCAAGAAGCAAAAUACAUAAGAAAUCAGCUCCAGCUAAAAUAAAUUUAGAAAAAGAAGCAGGAGAAACUGAAGAGAGGUCAACUAGCGCCAUGUCUGCCAAGUCUGUGAUGGUGGCUGAUAAAACCACUGAGCCUGAGGAAGAAAAAGAAGAUCGAGCUCCAAGUGCUAUGUCAGCAAAGUCAGCUAUGUCCAAUAUCUCUGUCAGAUCAACAAAAUCCAAGAUAUCUGUAGCUUCUGCUGAAGAAACUACUAAAGAUGUUCUGGAUGAAAAAAGUACAGUAGAGACCAAUGAAAACAAAAACAGUGAGGAGAGAACAAUCAGUGCGAAGUCCAAUGUUUCUGGACAGUCAGCAAAGUCUAAAGCUGCUGACAUUUCUCCUGUGGAAAAUGAAGACAAGGACUUGGAAGAAGUUGAAG
rnacentral:lncRNA from 1 species